rnacentral:tRNA from 1 species
GUUUUAGUAGUUUAAUAAAAACACUGGUCUUGUAAGUCAGUAUUAAGAAUACCCGCUUCUAGAACU